GGAAGAAAUGACCGACCAGGUAAAGCUUGCCCGGACAGUUCCAUGCCAGCACCCCUAACUCUACGCCGGGGGUUACCGUUGUUCGGAAUUUCUGGGCGUAAAGCGCAAUCAUUGGGUUUAAAGGGUUGGGGGUGAAAUCCCUGGGCUCAACCUGGGAACUGCCUCCUAAACUGCUAGUCUGGAGUUCAAGAGAGGUGAGUGGAAUUCCAAGUGAAUAGGUGAAAUUCGUAGAGUUUUGGAGAAAUGCCUAUGGCUAACGCGGAUCACUGGUUCCAUACGGACGCUGAUGUGCAAAAGUGGGCGCUGAUGACCGAAUUAGAUACCCUGGAAGUCCACACCGUACCCUAUGAAUGCCCGCCGUCGGGUAUGGACUGCUCUGUGACACACCUAACGGAUUAGCUAUUCCACCUGGGGAGUACGGUCCCUGGAUUAAAACUCAAAUGAAUUGACAACUCAAAUGAAUUGACGGAAUU
rnacentral:rRNA from 1 species